CGUAGGGGGCUAGGCGUUGUCCGGAAUCAUUGGGCGUAAAGAGCGUGUAGGCGGCCCGGUAAGACCCGCUGUGAAAUCGGGGGCUCAACCCUCGAAUGCCGGUGGAUACUGUCGGGCUAGAGUGCGGAAGAGGCGAGUGGAAUUCCUGGUGUAGCGGUGAAAUGCGCAGAUAUCAGGAGGAACACCGAUUGCGAAGGCAGCUCGCUGGGACGUAACUGACGCUGAGACGCGAAAGCGUGGGGAGCAAACAGGAUUAGAUACCCUGGUAGUCCACGCUGUAAACGAUGGGCACUAGGUGUGGGGGGUGUCGACUCCCUCCGUGCCGAAGCUAACGCAUUAAGUGCCCCGCCUGGGGAGUACGGCCGCAAGGCUA
rnacentral:rRNA from 1 species